AUUGAACGCUGGCGGCAUGCUUUACACAUGCAAGUCGAACGGUAACAGGUUAAGCUGACGAGUGGCGAACGGGUGAGUAAUGCAUCGGAACGUGCCCGAUCGUGGGGGAUAACGCAGCGAAAGCUGCGCUAAUACCGCAUACGACCUGAGGAUGAAAGCGGGGGACCGUAAGGCCUCGCGCGAUCGGAGCGGCCGAUGUCAGAUUAGGUAGUUGGUGGGGUAAAGGCCCACCAAGCCGACGAUCUGUAGCUGGUCUGAGAGGACGACCAGCCACACUGGGACUGAGACACGGCCCAGACUCCUACGGGAGGCAGCAGUGGGGAAUUUUGGACAAUGGGCGAAAGCCUGAUCCAGCCAUGCCGCGUGCAGGAUGAAGGCCUCCGGGUUGUAAACUGCUUUUGUACGGAACGAAAAGACUCUUUCUAAUAAAGAGGGUCCAUGACGGUACCGUAAGAAUAAGCACCGGCUAACUACGUGCCAGCCGCCGCUGUAA
rnacentral:rRNA from 1 species